rfam:Lysinibacillus contaminans strain DSM 25560 Scaffold1, whole genome shotgun sequence.
AGUACCUUUUAAAGAAUUGUCCAGAGAGGCAGAAAAGGGGAAGAUGUAGACAAGUAGAAAGGAAGAAUGAAGUUCUUUCUUCAACUUGUCACGCCUCCUUAUGCCUCGUUGAUGACAUCAACGAGGCUUUUACU